UACAGAGGUGGCAAGCGUUGUUCGGAAUUACUGGGCGUAAAGGGCGCGUAGGCGGUCCGAUAAGUCCCGUGUGAAAUCCCUCGGCUCAACUGAGGAAUGGCACGGGAAACUGACGGGCUUGAGUUCGGGAGAGGGAAGCGGAAUUCCGGGUGUAGCGGUGAAAUGCGUGGAUAUCUGGAGGAACACCAGUGGCGAAGGCGGCUGCCUGGGCCAGUUCUGACGCUGAGGCGCGAAAGCGUGGGGAGCAAACAGG
rnacentral:rRNA from 1 species